GCAGGGCGGCGGCUAUACAUGCAAGUCGAGCGAACAGAUAAGGAGCUUGCUCCUUUGACGUUAGCGGCGGACGGGUGAGUAACACGUGGGUAACCUACCUAUAAGACUGGGAUAACUUCGGGAAACCGGAGCUAAUACCGGAUAACAUUUGGAACCGCAUGGUUCUAAAGUGAAAGAUGGUUUUGCUAUCACUUAUAGAUGGACCCGCGCCGUAUUAGCUAGUUGGUAAGGUAACGGCUUACCAAGGCGACGAUACGUAGCCGACCUGAGAGGGUGAUCGGCCACACUGGAACUGAGACACGGUCCAGACUCCUACGGGAGGCAGCAGUAGGGAAUCUUCCGCAAUGGGCGAAAGCCUGACGGAGCAACGCCGCGUGAGUGAUGAAGGGUUUCGGCUCGUAAAACUCUGUUAUUAGGGAAGAACAAAUGUGUAAGUAACUGUGCACGUCUUGACGGUACCUAAUCAGAAAGCCACGGCUAACUACGUGCCAGCAGCCGCGGUAAUACGUAGGUGGCAAGCGUUAUCCGGAAUUAUUGGGCGUAAAGCGCGCGUAGGCGGUUUCUUAAGUCUGAUGUGAAAGCCCACGGCUCAACCGUGGAGGGUCAUUGGAAACUGGGAAACUUGAGUGCAGAAGAGGAAAGUGGAAUUCCAUGUGUAGCGGUGAAAUGCGCAGAGAUAUGGAGGAACACCAGUGGCGAAGGCGACUUUCUGGUCUGUAACUGACGCUGAUGUGCGAAAGCGUGGGGAUCAAACAGGAUUAGAUACCCUGGUAGUCCACGCCGUAACGAUGAGUGCUAAG
rnacentral:rRNA from 1 species